GUGAGGAAUAUUGGUCAAUGGACGAGAGUCUGAACCAGCCAAGUAGCGUGAAGGAUGACUGCCCUAUGGGUUGUAAACUUCUUUUAUAAGGGAAUAAAGUGAGGGACGUGUCCCUUUUUGUAUGUACCUUAUGAAUAAGGAUCGGCUAACUCCGUGCCAGCAGCCGCGGUAAUACGGAGGAUCCAAGCGUUAUCCGGAUUUAUUGGGUUUAAAGGGAGCGUAGGUUGACAUAUAAGUCAGCUGUGAAAGUUUACGGCUCAACCGUGAAAUUGCAGUUGAUACUGUAUGUCUUGAGUGUACAAGAGGUGGGCGGAAUUCGUGGUGUAGCGGUGAAAUGCUUAGAUAUCACGAAGAACUCCAAUUGCGAAGGCAGCUCACUGGGUUACAACUGACACUGAGGCUCGAAAGUGUGGGUAUCAAACAGGAUUAGAUACCCGAGUAGUCC
rnacentral:rRNA from 1 species